AGCCACCCGGCACCUGCAUCUGCCAACAAGACUGGAAGCAGAAAGCGACAGGGGCGGCAAAGUUUGACGGUCUGGAAAGCGGAGACCGACCGGGUUGGCUGCCUGGGAGCACCGAGCCCCGGACAG